AGAGUUUGAUCCUGGCUCAGGAUGAACGCUGGCGGCGUGCCUAAUACAUGCAAGUAGAACGCUGAAAGAAGGAGCUUGCUCUUUCUGGAUGAGUUGCGAACGGGUGAGUAACGCGUAGGUAACCUGCCUCUUAGCGGGGGAUAACUAUUGGAAACGAUAGCUAAUACCGCAUAACAGUCGACAUUGCAUGAUGUUGACUUGAAAGGUGCAAAUGCAUCACUAAGAGAUGGACCUGCGUUGUAUUAGCUAGUUGGUGAGGUAACGGCUCACCAAGGCGACGAUACAUAGCCGACCUGAGAGGGUGAUCGGCCACACUGGGACUGAGACACGGCCCAGACUCCUACGGGAGGCAGCAGUAGGGAAUCUUCGGCAAUGGGGGGAACCCUGACCGAGCAACGCCGCGUGAGUGAAGAAGGUUUUCGGAUCGUAAAGCUCUGUUGUAAGAGAAGAACGAGUGUGAGAGUGGAAAGUUCACACUGUGACGGUAUCUUACCAGAAAGGGACGGCUAACUACGUGCCAGCAGCCGCGGUAAU
rnacentral:rRNA from 1 species